rnacentral:rRNA from 1 species
UACGAAGGGUGCAAGCGUUAGUCGGAAUUACUGGGCGUAAAGCGUGCGUAGGCGGUCUCUUAAGUCCGUUGUGAAAGCCCUGGGCUCAACCUGGGAACUGCAGUGGAUACUGAGAAGCUAGAGUGUGUCAGAGGAUGGUGGAAUUCCCGGUGUAGCGGUGAAAUGCGUAGAGAUCCGGAGGAACACCAAAGGCGAAGGCAGUGUCCUGGGGAGUACCUGACGCUCAGGUGCGAAAGCCAGGGGAGCGAACGGG